GGCGAGUGCCCGAAGCCGGUGCGCUAACCGCAAGGAAGCAGCCGACCACGGUCGGGUCAGCGACUGGGGUGAAGUCGUAACAAGGUAGCCGUAGGUGAACCUGCAGAAGGAUCA
rnacentral:rRNA from 1 species